rnacentral:lncRNA from 1 species
AAAUAUCUUAAAAUGUAGAAAAUAAUUUUUCCUUUAAAUUAAAAAAAAUGUGACUACAAUUAUAUUUAUCCCAGAGGGGGGAAAAAGUCACUUUAUUCCAGUUAUACUUACUUUUUAUUAUUUUUUAAAAAACUACUUUGUUGGAAGUGUAAUUUACAUAACCAUAAAAUACACCCAAGUCCAGUUCAAUGAUUUUUUGUAAAUUUACAUGAUCAUAUAAGUAUCACCACAGUCCAAUUUUAGAUCAUUUCAUCAUUCCCCCAAAUCCCUGUUGUCUGUCUGUGGUCCCUCAUCUCCACCCCUCACCCUGGGCAACUACUUUUCUACUUUCUCUAUUUAGAUUUGCCUUUUCUGGACAUACCAUGCAAAUGAAGUCAUGUAACAAAUGCUCUUUAGCAUCUGUCUUCUUUGAUAUAGAAUAAAGUAUUUGAGGCUCUUUCAGGUGGUAGCAUAUAUCUGCACUUGGUUUCUUUUUAUUGCUAACCAGUAUUCAUUCAAUUUGAUGACUGUACCAUACUUUGUUAAUCAGUUGGUGGCUAUUUCUGCAAUUUUUUAAAAUAGUAAGAUAGAUAUAUUGGUCUGGCUUCCAUAGCAGCAUAAUUUGAAAAUAACUGACAUGAGCCUUCUUCUUAUUAGAUGCUUUGAUUCUCCUUCAUGAUUUAAAAUAUUAAUGCCAAGAGUUAAACACCUAGGUUCCUUUUAAGCAAGGGAGCUUUCCUAUGUGGAACUAUUUAUUUAGAGAACCAAAUAAGACCUUCUUAAUGUUGAUUUUUGGUGUGCCUCUUUAAGGAGUCAGAAAUCUUGAAUAGCAGUUCCCAGUUUAAAUUUUUUCUUAUACACUCCUUUUAUCCCGCCUUGUGCUACCAUGGCAGGUACAUGGCGGGGGUGGGGGGGGGCAGGUCAUGCUUGACAACUUAGAGAAAUUUCUCUACUUGAGUAGCAACCCUUCUCUAAAAAUCUGGCAGUUUUUGUGAAUCAAAAGAAGAAAAGACAGUAUCUUUCUGAAUGCCUUUCAGUUACUACUCAAAUUGAAAGUUCAUAUUGGGGAAAACAGAACAUUAAAAUAAAUAGCUUGAAGUUUAUUUUAUUGGUAACUUAGAAUCAAGAGAUUUUCUUAAACAUCUAAAAUCUGAAAAUAAGACAGCCUAGUAGGUCAAAUAAUAUGGCUUUCCAAAGCUAAAUGUGUUCCUGUGGAAUUCUGUUUUUGUCUGAAAUGUCCAAACAACUUCCUCUAAUUCUUAGGUGAAGGCAGAAGUUUAGUGAUCAAUCUCAGUUGGUAGCAACACCCCCAUCCUUGGGCAGGAUUUUAAGAAUUCUAAAACUGAUAUAUUUUUCUUGCCUCAUAGUGAUAACUUUAUUCUAAAUAUCUCCUAAGAAGUCUAUUCCGUUUUCAGGAAUCCACCUUCACCCUUCUUACUUUCACGUGUUUCAGGUAUCCAGGUGGAAACAUUCACCACGCUGUGUGGGUCCUCCAGGAGGACAAAGGCUUGAUGGGCCCAGCGCUGUGAGCACCUCUGACCUGGGUUCCCUAGGUAGUGAUGAUCUGGUAUGAGGAGCCUGGUGCCUCUCAGCCAGGACAGGCAGCUGCCUCUCAGCCUUGUAACUUUCUGGAUUUUAGUAGAAGGCUGCUCUCUGAUAAGAUGGACAUCUUCGUGGCACAGAAGGGUGAGCAGAGAGUGACCAAAAGGAGGUUCCAGGGCUUGAAUAGACUUUCUACUCCUGGACCCCAUCACUCACAUGCAAAUGGACAAAGAUGGAGGAUAAAAACAUGUUGUGCAUCUAAAAAAUUGUUAGGAAAGGGAUGAAUAGACAAGAGAAGGAAUCUCUCAUUUGUGUUUAGAUUUAAUUCUUGUUGCAGGUGUUCAGGUCUUUCCAUCUAUCUAUCUUCCUUCCUUCCUUCCUUCCUUCCUUUCUUCCUUUCUUUCGAUUGAACUCAGGGGCACUUGACCACUAUGCCACAUCCCCAGCCCAAUUUUGUAUUUUAUUCACAGACAGGGUCUCAUUGAGUUGCUUAGUGCCUCAACAUUGCUGAGGCUGGUUUUGAACUGGUGAUCCUCAUCCUCCCAAGCCGCUGGGAUUACAGGCGUGUGCCACUGCACCCUACUUCUUGUAUUUCUUAUAUAUUCUAUAUAUUUCCUCCCACUCUUUCACCUUAGUAAAUAGCACUCAUCAUUAAUUUCCUUGCAAUGUCUAAAAGACUUUUGUGUCUGUUGUUACAUUAGAUAUCAGCUGUUACUAUCUUGAGCUUCAACAGUUCAACCUACCUACUACCAACAUACCUACCACCUCUCUACUUACCUGUUAGAGUUCACUUGGCUGCUCAUUAACAGUUCUGAGUUCAUUGCUGUUUCUUGUCAUUUACACUUUUUUUUGGUUAAUAUUUAAAUGAAGGAAAACAAAUUCAGUUCAUUGUGACUUCCAGUUCUCAUAAAAUCAGGGAGAGCCCUUGAAUUUAAAAAUCUCAAUUGUUUCUUACUUUUUCUGGGGUACUGCACAUUAUCAUGAAAAUAAAAAGUUUUAUAUGCUAAAUCUUUUUUUCCCUGUAUUGUAUUAUUUUGUAAGUUUUAGCAUAUGGCUACAGUCAUGGAACCACCAUCACCAUCAAGAUAUGAACAGUUACUUUAUUCCCCUCCAAGAUCCUCUAUUUCUCUCUUCCCCAUUUCCAGUUCCAAGCAACCACAGAUCUGUUUCUACUUCCUAUAGUUUUGAGGACCAUGCCUUUACUACGGACCUUUAGGGACCCUCCAGACCUAAACUAUAGUAAUUGAUUUUGUUGCUGAUUAAUAUUCGCCUUGAAUUGUUUCCAGUGUUGAUAAUUAAGAACAUCAGUGUUCAGGUUCUGUGGAGCAUACAUUUUUAUUUUAUUGGGUAGAUUGCUAGGAAUUGGAUUUCUGGAUUGUACAGUUUAACUGUAUAGGAAGCUGUCAACCUGUUGUCCAUAGUGGCUGUGUGUUUUGCAUUUCCAUCAGCAAUAGACAGGAGUUCCAACUGCCCAGCGUGCUCACCAGUACUUGGUAUUACCUCCACCGGCCAUGGCUAAUCUUAAAAUGAAGUAAAUUAUGUUGUAGCUGAAAUGCUCUGGGAUGAGGCUAGAAACCUAUAGAUAUUUUGUAAACAUCUGAGCUAUUGACUCUUAGAAGCUUUUGUAAAGCCACACAAGAAAUUUUCCAAAAGCACACCAUGUAAAUGUUACAGGUCCCUGUGGUAUACAUCACUGGCAUCUGCUUCUUCUCGUAUUUUCUUGACUGAUGAGUCCUAACUGACUUCUGGUUUGAUUUGUUAGUUGGGUGAUUUGUUAAAUGGGUGACAGAGGAAAAAACGAGGGACAAGUGAGCUUAGGUGUCGCCACUUUCAAAUUGAAAUCCUAUAAGUAAACGUCCUGUGGUUGUGAAUAUAAACAUAAUUAUUUAAUAUUCACUCAAUAUGCAUCAUGGCAGAUACUCUGUGAAGUCCUUUGAAUGCCUCGUCUCAUUUGAUGGCCACAUAAUUCCAUGAGGAGGUACACAUUCUCACAUGAAUUUUCAGAUGAAGGAGCUGAAGUCUGGAGAGUUUAAAUAGUUGUGUAAGGCGGCCCUGGGUAAGAAAGUAAAGUAGUCUUCUGGACACUACUGAUGGCAUCCAAUUCCUUUGUUUUUAAGCCACAAAGCUAUAUUGCCUGUGUUCCUAGAAUAAAUCUACUGGUAUAUCAAUAUCUGCUCAGGUUCCUGAAGGACACACUGGGACCCUCACAUCAGGAGUUCCUUGACGUGACUUAGAAACUCACUUUGAAAUACCUUGAGUCCUAUCUCAGGCCCAAGAAGAAGGCUUAAAAAUUUAUUCAGAAUACUGCCAAGGCACAGUGGUAAGCUGGAAAGAGCUAACCGACUCCAGGCCAGAGUCAGCCAGGCCUUGGGUUAGGAUGCUGUGACCCUCGUGACUAGCUGGCUGUCUUUGCUCAAUCUUGCUGAGCCUCAUUUCCUCGUCUGUAAAUACCACUACUGACCUCUCUGUGCUGCUGAGACAGGUGACAUAGUCUACCCAGCACAUUCUGGGCACUCCACAGAUCCUGGGCACUCCAAAGAUCCUCUCUCACACCCUCCUUCCUGAAUGAGAGGGGCUCAUAUGAUUUGUAUCUCUUUGUAACCUAGUUGUUGAGCUGGCCCUGACUGACACCUUCAGCUGUUUCAUAGUUUGAAAUCAGACUGUAUAGCCUGUUUCAGUACAAAGACAUUUGGACUUGAGGUCAGUCUGUCUGAGUUCAGGUUAUGAUGAAAAAAUUGUAUCGUUCCUCUUUGCUUUGGUUGCACUUAUUCCGUGCUGAGGACCAUGCCUAUAAGGUAGUAUUGUAAUGAUUGAUUGUGACAAUAUAUGGAAAAUGAUUCUUUGGUAAGUGGUACAGCACUUUUUUAACAGUAUGUAUUUGUACAUAGUAUUUGCACUAAUAUUUAAUUCCUUUUCCCUAUAAAAUAAAUAGCCAUAUUUCAUAUCUAAGAGUUUUAUAUAGGAGUAAAUUUAUGUGUAUGUACCAAUGAGAGAGUAGCACGUGGUCGAAUGAAGUUAAAUCUACUGAAGAAUGAAUUACCUCCACAAAGACUGGCAGACAGAAGUGGGGUUCAGUGAGAACAGGCACGUGUUUGGUGUAGUGUGUAUUAUUUCUAGGUAAGCUGCUCAGUCACCUGAGAUGGAGCCAGCUGACACUGGAUGUCACCAUUGUGCUGUGUAAUGUAGCUGUGGCACAGGUGUGCUGCUAAAGAUUCAGGGCAAGGCCAUUCUCUCUGAGGACUUGAAGGGA